rnacentral:rRNA from 1 species
CCUACGGGCGGCAGCAGUGGGGAAUAUUGGACAAUGGGGGGAACCCUGAUCCAGCCAUGCCGCGUGUGUGAAGAAGGCCCUCGGGUUGUAAAGCACUUUCAGUGAGGAAGAACGCCUGGUGGUUAAUACCCAUCAGGAAAGACAUCACUCACAGAAGAAGCACCGGCUAACUCCGUGCCAGCAGCCGCGGUAAUACGGAGGGUGCGAGCGUUAAUCGGAAUUACUGGGCGUAAAGCGCGCGUAGGUGGCUUGAUAAGCCGGUUGUGAAAGCCCCGGGCUCAACCUGGGAACGGCAUCCGGAACUGUCAAGCUAGAGUGCAGGAGAGGAAGGUAGAAUUCCCGGUGUAGCGGUGAAAUGCGUAGAGAUCGGGAGGAAUACCAGUGGCGAAGGCGGCCUUCUGGACUGACACUGACACUGAGGUGCGAAAGCGUGGGUAGCAAACAGGAUUAGAUACCCCAGUAGUU